GACCUUCGAUUACAAAACAAAAUUUACUGCUCGCUUUCGCUUCAAAACAAACACAAUGACUAUUCUGAUUUCUAGCCUGGCAGCAGCAGCUUCGUUUGCAGAUGUGUACUUUUCCACUCAACCAACAUCUCAAGAUUAUGUCAGUUACGAACUUACACGAAAGUUUGAAAAACUCUCCUAUGGUAUUUGUGAUCACUGUAUCUCAGAAAAGUUGUUCAUUCGUAUCACCAUGGUUACAGCCAUUCAUGUUGGGGUAUUCAUUUUCUCAGCAGUCGCCUACCUUAAAGUUUUCAUACAUGUGCGGCAAAGAAGAAGAGAAAACGAGCAACAAAAAAAGACAAAGAAACAAGCAACACGAACCGAAAGCAAAAUAAAAAUGUUGGCGCGGGUGUUUGGAUGGAUAAGUGUUACUUAUGGAGCCAUUUUUGUACCACUGUCAUUGGCAAACUUAGUCGUGCAAAUGCAGAUUCGGAAAGCGGUGCGGGCUUUUAGUGCUUCAAACGAUGAGUUUGCUGACAUUGAUUUCAAUGGCCAGUUUGACGAUGCACCUCUUAAAAAUGACGAAGUGUAUGCAAUGACUUAUCAAGUGUACCAAGGUCAGACUGUUGAAAUUGGCUUUAUUGGUCUGUCUCGUUUGUUCCCUGUUGUGAACUGUAUCAUUCUGGUCUUUCUUCUCGCUCACAUGAAGACUGCUGCCAAGAAGAUCCGCUGUUUUCUGAGUCAGAAGAUCAAACGCUCGAAGAACGUGUCCUCUUAGAAAUGCUAAAACUGUUUAUCAAGGCCAUUAUUUAAUGCAACUGGCUGAUACGUUUUGGUACCAAAGCAGC